rnacentral:rRNA from 1 species
AGAGUUUGAUCAUGGCUCAGGACGAACGCUGGCGGCGUGCCUAAUGCAUGCAAGUCGCACGGAGCCUUCGGGCUCAGUGGCGCACGGCUGAGGAACACGUGGGAAUGUGCCCAUUGGUGGGGGAUAACGGGCCGAAAGGUCCGCUAAGCCCGCAUACGCUCGCAAGAGGAAAGGCGCAAGUCGCCGAUGGAGCAGCCCGCGGCCCAUCAGGUCGUUGGUGGGGUAACGGCCCACCAAGCCGAUGACGGGUAGCUGGUCUGAGAGGACAGACAGCCAGACUGGGACUGAGACACGGCCCAGACUCCUACGGGAGGCAGCAGCAAGGAAUUUUCGUCAAUGGGCGCAAGCCUGAACGAGCAACGCCGCGUGCAGGAUGACGGCUUUCGGGUUGUAAACUGCUUUUGGGGGGGACGAUAAUGACGGUACCCUCCGAAUAAGCCCCGGCUCACUCUGUACCAGCAGCCGCGGUAAUACAGAGGGGGCAAGCGUUGUCCGGACUUACUGGGUGUAAAGCGCAUGCAGGUGGCCUGACAAGUAUGCUGUGAAAGCCCCGUGCUUAACACGGGGAGGCCAGUAUAGACUGUCAAGCUCGAGGACUGCAGAGGGUAGGGGAAUUGCUGGUGUAGUGGUGAAAUGCGUAGAGAUCAGCAGGAAUACCAAUGCCGAAGGGACCUACCUGGGCAGUAUCUGACACUCAAGUGCGACAGCGUGGGGAGCGAACCGGAUUAGAUACCCGGGUAGUCCACGCCGUAAACGAUGGAUGCUCGGCGUUUGGGGGGGAAACCUCCUGGGCGCCUCAGCUGACGCGGAAGCAUCCCACCUGGGAACUACGAGCGCAAGCUUAAAACUCAAGGAAUUGACGG